UCUCUGCAGGAUUAGUGGUUAGGCCACAGCGCCCUCCUGGCUGCGGCCCGGGCUCGAUUCCCAGCCAGGGAA
rnacentral:tRNA from 1 species